rnacentral:tRNA from 1 species
CCUGGGGGCGCUGCGCCUGGCUGUGGCGUGCGGUCUCGCGCGCCGCGGCCUCGCGCUCGGCCUUGCGGGCGGGGAUCUCCUCCUCGACCUUGGUC